CACUAACUAAUUUAUUAAAAUACCUGUUUUGGAUAUAGGAUUUAACCUUAUUAUUAU
rnacentral:tRNA from 1 species